rnacentral:rRNA from 1 species
AGUGAACGCUGGCGGCAGGCCUAACACAUGCAAGUCGAGCGGCAGCGCGGGGGCAACCCUGGCGGCGAGCGGCGGACGGGUGAGGAAUUCGUCGGAAUCUGCCUUUUUGUGGGGGAUAACGUAGGGAAACUUACGCUAAUACCGCAUACGUCCUACGGGAGAAAGUGGGGGACCGCAAGGCCUCACGCAGAAAGAUGAGCCGACGACCGAUUAGCUAGUUGGUGGGGUAAAGGCCCACCAAGGCGACGAUCGGUAGCUGGUCUGAGAGGAUGAUCAGCCACACUGGGACUGAGACACGGCCCAGACUCCUACGGGAGGCAGCAGUGGGGAAUAUUGGACAAUGGGCGCAAGCCUGAUCCAGCCAUGCCGCGUGUGUGAAGAAGGCCUUCGGGUUGUAAAGCACUUUUGUCCGGAAAGAAAUCCCUGGAGCUAAUACCUUCGGGAGAUGACGGUACCGGAAGAAUAAGCACCGGCUAACUUCGUG